GCCUGGCACGGUUAUUUAUAACCAUGGGUCGCCUUACCUCCUGACCUUCAGCCGGGAGCAGCGAUCCACCGCGAUUAGCAUCUCUCUAGCCGCCCACUGCGAACAAACACCCCUCUGUGAGGUCUCCGGGAGGGCCUGCCGGAAGCAGGAUGUUGACCCGUGGCUCCUCAGGGUGGAUCCAGUCCCAUGUGAGUGGGGAGAGGGGUGCGUCUGCGGGAAGGUGCUGCAGUUACUCCUGUGGCCUUGUUUCCCCGGGUUGCAAAUGUUCUGGACUAUUCUGGGCAGCAGUUUUAUUUACAAUAUAGGACUCCCCAGCCUGGGUCUGCUCCAAUGGGUACCCGCUCUGAGCCAGAGAGAAUGAAGCAGGCAGCCCUGGUGUCUGGAGUUAACCGUGCAGAUGCGACCUUUGGUACCACGCUGCACAUUGGAGCCAGGUCACAACCAUCACACAGAACUCCCAGACCUUCCCUGGUUGUUGGUGUCCCACUGGACCCCAGAACCCCCACCAGUGGCCUGGGGGAGGGCAGGGCAGGAGACACCACCCAGGUUAGUCAUUCAUUCAGGAGUUUUGUUGGGUCUCUAGGCCCCUCCCAGGAGAAGUUAUUGCCCGUGGGGUUGUCAGUGGAAAGUCCACAGAGAAGCCCAAGUCGGGGCAGUGGCAGAAGGGAUGUGUGAGACCUGGAGGUGGACCCCAAGACAGGCAGGAGGGGCGGGGGGGGGGGCUGUGUACUUGCCAAGGACAGACAAGGCCAAGCUCAGCAUCACAUUCUAAGCCAGCGAAGGCUGUGGCUCCGUAGCAGGGCCUCCCCCAGGAUAGCUUCCAAUGACCUUGCCCCCAGCACGGAGGGCGAAAGUCUCACCCAGUGCCCAUCUGGGUCGUGGACCUGGAGAAGGCUGUGGACAGGUCAGGGGCAGCUGGUUCUGCCUUUUGAGAGGCUUGGGCUCAGUGUGGUAGGAGGAGGACUGGGUACAGGUUUGUUCUGUUGAGACUCUAUCUCACUAUUCGGCGUUGGCUGGCCUGGAACGCUACGUAGACCAGGCUGGCCUCAAACUCAUUUGGUCUGCCUGAGUGGUUAAGGACUAGGGUGCCACAUGCAGCCUCUGCCACAGUCUUGCCCACCCUGAAACCCUGACAGUAAGUACUUCAGCUGUAGGACUUAACCUCCCUGCUUACCCUCUCGAGGCCCGUUUCCACCAGUGGGCAGGGAAGGCAUUAACUGAUGGUGAAGAACAGUCUCAGCUCCUGCUGCCUGUUCCUGGGACCUAGCCGCCUUCUAGACUAGAGGACUCCCACCACCCACCUCCCCACCCCGCCCCCCUCUGGCUCAGCCUGCACGUGUCUGGUGAAGAAGGUUCAAGGGGACAGAUCAGAGAGAGGUGCGCAUGCGGCUGUGGCUGGAGUGGCCAUGGGUGGCCAAGAAAUCAUUCCACAGUAUAAAGAUUGGGGUGUGUCCUUUGUAGAAGGUGCUGUACAUGGGGGGCUGUGUGUUGGAUCUUGAUGGGGGUGCAAGGAAGAGAGUGUGGGUAAUAAAUAGUGUCAGAGUGUAGGGUGUGGGCAAGAGUUACAGGGAUGCUUUGGCAGGUGGGCUGGGGACUUCAGGCCCUUCAAGGGCCUCUCCCUCAUGACCAGUGUGUGGCAAGUGGGCCCUGACCAGUCAAUGAACUCAGGGUCUGGAAGAGUCAGCGGCUUUUCCGACUUUUUUGCCAAACGGGAUGUCAGCACUAGGGAGGGGCGGGGCAAGAGAGGGGAGGGGGAUGCCGGCGGGCCGGCAGGCCUGGCAGGCUGGGAAGGUGCCAGUGACUUCAUGACAGCUGGCCACAGAGCAGCUGGCUGAGGGGGCGGGGAGCUGGAGCCUGCCUGGGCCAGGAAACCGGCCCCUUUGGCCACUGGUCAAGGCCAAGGCUGCUGUUCCUUUCCAGACAGGGAGAAGCAGUAUGGCCUCAGUUCCCUUCCUGGGGCCUCCUAGGGGCAGAGCAGGGGGCCUCCCCCACUGCACACCAGGCAUCCUGGGUAAGGACACCUGCUCCACUUUACAGAUAAGGAAACCGAGGCUCACUGAGGCCCACUGGGGAUGGGGGGUAGCACGUUCCCUGCUGCGCCACACAGGGGCAUUUAGCCACUAAAGACUGAGGGCCUGCGGUGUGGGGGCAGCAGGCCUUCUCUGAACCCCUAGGCACGAGGCUCUCAAGUCCCCCCAAAGGAGCUCCUUCUUGGGGAGCGCCUCCACAUAGUUUCUUCUAUUUGGGGAGCAGGCAGUCAACAUCAACAGCAGUGUUCCCCCAUCCCCGUGAAUAGAGUCUUGGGCGCCCCCCUACCCCAGGCCAGAGGCAGCCUUCUACAGCAGACUGACUGCUCUUCUCCAGCCAAGGCUUCAUCGACUGCUGGCGCAGACUGGUUCCUCAGCAGGGCUGGUGGGACAGCCGAUCACAGGCCUGGUGGGUGUAAACCUGGCCUUUGUACCCACAAGCUGAGACCAGUUUUGGGGGUGUUCUUUCUUCCAUCAUUUACUAGUUUCCCAUAAGAAUAAUGACUGGCCUACGUAUCCUUUGUAGUUCAUAGAGGACUUUCACAGACAUUGUCUGGGUUAGUGCUUACCUAGCCCCGUGACAAGCAACUCACACACCCAUUUUAUAGAAUAAGAAACUGAGGACAAUGAGGGAGGUUCUGGAUGAGGCUCGGAUCACAGGGCCAGGAAGUAGCUGGCGCUGAGGCCUCUCUGACCCAGACACCUGCCACAGCAGCAGCCUUCUCAGGGAGCAUGGCAGUCAUGUGACCGAGCAGACAGACUGGGUCCUGCAGCCAACAGCGAGCUGUGCAGCAGCCCUGUGCAUCUCCAGCCCGGAAUAUGUGAAGCCUACUCCGUCUGCUUGUCCUGUGCGGGGUGGGGGAGGGCAGUGGCGCAGGGAGGGAUUAACAGUGAGGCAAAAGUGACCAGGGCCGAGAGCUGGCCGCGGAGUGCUCGGGAGGGUCUCUGAGAACAGGGCUGGUUGGUGGUGGUGCUGAGCGCCGGCCAAGGAGUGGAAGGACCAGCAUUUCCUGGAACAAGAGUCGACCAACAGUGCCUAGGGCCAGCUGCUGCCAUGGGUGGCUCUGUCUGGAGCUGGAGGGGAAGGACAGUAUAUAGGGAGGUGAGAGGCUCUCAAAUGGAGAUAGGCUCGGAAAGCCACGUUCCUCCGAGUGGGACACUCUCAGCCCCUCCUUGGGGCAUGAGGACACUCAGUCAGCAAAUGAAGGCCAGUGCUGGUGGCACCCCUACUCUUUAUGGAAAUAACAGUGACCAGAGAAACUGCAAACACCGCGGACCUACAAGCCACCCGUCCCUCCAGGGGCUCUCGGUCAACCUAUAAUGGAGGAAGCUGUUUUAUGUAUGUGGAGGGGGGGUGUCCCCACUUUCAUUAAGGUUUCUGAGACGGUCUCAUUGGGUAGCACCGGCUGGCCUGGCCCUCGUGAUCCUCCUUGUUGCAGCUUCCCCAGUUUGGGGAUUACAGGUGCCUACUGCAUAGAGAGAUCUCGUUUUUAAUUGAGGACUGGAUAGCUAGAAAGCUUCUCCUAGGCCCUAAGGGAGGGGGUUGGGAUCACACCCUGCUUCACCCCUGCCACUGCAGAGCCUAGGCUUCCUUGGGGAACCUGAGCAAAAGGAACAUUCUAGUAAGUGUACUGGGAAUUCUGAGAAAAGUUUCAGGGCCAGUUCUCCAUGCCAUCUACCCUUGACUCCUUUCUGACUGGGAGCUGGGAGGAAAUGUUCCCUUAAACCUCUCAGCCCUCCUGGGCUGUGGCUGCCUCCCCCAGAGCCCUCAAAUAAUCCAGACCCUGCAAGGAGACAUCAUGGGUACGGUUGGCUGGCUGCCUCUCUGAGAGGGCAUGUCAGUAAUGUCACGGCCAAAUAUAGAGGGAACCAGACACCUCAUGGGCCCAGGGCCCGGGGAGCCCCAAGGACUCCACAGUGCCUGCCCCACCCCCAGCUCUUCUGAGCCCUCCUCCUCCCUCCCCCCAGCUUGGGCAAGCAGCCAGGAGACUGGCAUCCCCUCUCCUGGCCCCAGCCCACUAGGGGACAUGUCCCAACAAGUCCGAGCACAGCAGGAGGCUGGCUCAGGGGGUGGGGGCAGAGUUUGAGCUGGGUGUGAGCGUGGGGACACCUCUCCAAGCCCUUUUACAAGCGUACCUUCCCACAGGGCUCUCAACACCAGGAGGCCAAGAGGAACCGCCCCUGUCCUCUGUUCUUUAGCUUCCCCCAGACCAAGACCAUAAAGCUGGGGUGGGGGAGACCAGAAAGCCAGGCCAAACCCCAAUAAACUGCUGGCCGAAUCGAACUGCAAAUAAUUAGUCCCAAUCGCCUCCGCCCUCCUCUCUGGGGAGUGGAAAGUCAAAGGGCAGAGUUGCUGACGCAAAUGUCAGGGGAGACAUGUGGAGGCUUGAAACAGCUGGGCUCCUGCUCCCAGCGAGGUCACUGGAGCCCUGAACACUGUGUCCCCCAGGGCAGCUGGGAGAGCUGUUCUCAAAGCCCUUGAGAUGAGGGGGCUCUGUGGCUUUCCCCUCCUGAUUCUGAGGUCAUUAGAGCCCGAUGGAGAAGGUUAAUCAGACUCUUGGGGAAAGACCUCUGUCUCCUGUGUGGGGGACCCAGGCUCCAAACCCUCUUCUCGGUUGGACCUCCUGUGGGCACGCCUUGGCAGCUCUACCAGUCUGUGCACAGUGGUGACCCCCAAUGGUCAAUGCUAGACUUGAACUUGGGCCUGGGCUGUUACCAUUCAAACCUUGCAGCCUCAGCCCCAGGCCAGGGAACCUUGGACACAGCAAGAGCAGCCUGGGGAUUUGGCUUUGGUCAGGGACAUUUACCAGGUCUUAAUUUUUCCUCAUUGAAUUGUGGCUAGACCUCAGCUGAAAUAUCCCACUGUUAGCAGAUCAGGGUCAACAUGGCUAAGGAUGAACUCAUCAUCUCCUGGCUCCAAUCCUGCUCCUCCUCCGGACUUCCCUGUUUCCAUUAAUAGCACUGCCACCACCCAGUCCCUGGAGCUCCAAACCUUGUCAUCUCCAACCCCUCCUCUCUGGACUGGGCACCUGCCCUGCCCCUCCAUCUUCCAGCUAGACAGCCCUUUGCAGAGCGGCUGGUGAGCUCAACAGCACCACCCAGAGGCCAGGCCUGAUCACGUGACCCAACACCCGCUGACUGUGUCUUGGGGCCAGUCUCUCUCGGCUUUCUCGGCUAUAACCUAGUGAGAAUAAUCACUUCAUAGGAUAAUGUGUGACUCACUCGAGGGACAGACAGUACCCCGAAGCCCUAUCACGGAAGGUCCUACAAAGAUUCUACACAUCAUGUCCUCCAAAGCCUACGUUUUACAAAUAAGGCCCCGAGAGCCAGGGUAGGAACUAACAGGGGUGUUGAAUACUGUCUUUAUAACACACUGCAGAGCUAGCCACAAGCCCUUGGAAAUUCCUGCUAGUUUUAGUGUUUUUCCCUCCGCCAUCAUCUCCUCCCAGAACCCAGAACGAGAGGCUGCCUCUGCGUUCAUGAGGCCCAUCCCCUGCCUUCAGGGGCAGGUUCACCUGGCAGGUAUUGAGGUCACUUAGCUAUAGGAAAUAAUUCUGAGAUGUGGCCACCACAGGUCACAUACAGCAGUCUGAGUCAAGGCAGCCCGUCGGCGGUGAGGUUCUAAGUGAGGCUGAGCACACAGCCACUGGCCUGAGGGGAUGGCCUUGUGUCAGCUGUCCAAAAGGGUAGGGGUCUCCUCCUGUGACCCUGCUGCCUCUUCCCUGCCACUCCUACCCCAGUGUCCAUGUAAGUCUUAGCUUGCUGCUAUCUAGUCCUGUUUCCCUGUGGGCAGAUGUUCCUUUCAUUCACCCUGUCAAUAAGGACCUGGAUCCCACAUGAUCCCUUCAAAUGAAUAGUAAGAGCCACUUCCUGGGAAGAGGGUCAUAAUCAUUACCAGAUACCCAAAGGGGUCUUUUAUCCCUGAAGAGGCCACAGCAAGAACAUGGGGUAGAAAGGCUUUUAGAAUGAGGAGGAUUGGCCAUCCUAGAAUCCUUGGUCACCUGUCUUCUAAGACCAUGGUUCUCAAAUGAAUGGCUGCUUCUGUUCCCAGGGAACAUUCAGGAACACCUACAGUUUCUGUUGUCACAACUGGGAAGUGGGUACUGCUAGCUGUCUUUAGUGGGUCAGGACAAAAACCUUGUUAUGCAGCCUGGUAGUGCUCAGGGCAGACCAGGACACAGCACUACCAGCCAAUGGGCACAGACCCACCUUCACAGACUUUGUAAUGAUCCUGGUGUUCUUGCCCCUCUGCCCAGCCUGGGGAAGUUUCUAGAAUAGUCCAUGCUGACUUCUCAACUCUUUCAACAAGGAUAAAUAGGAGGACACCCAGGCCUGUGUACUCACAAUCCCAUUUCUUGAGCCAUGUGUCCACUGGAUCUGCAUGUCAUCCUUCAUGAGGGGGAAGACGAGACAGUGAGGAGCAAGCUAGCUCCCUCAGCUCUCUUCAGAACCAACCUUCAACCCCAGGAGAGAGGGACUUGCUGAGGAGCAGAGGUACUUCAGUCUCUACAAACACUGUGCCCAUAUAAUGACCACUGUCUUUCCCCUGGGACUGGCUAGUGUCCCCAAAUGGAAUUCCGGCUGACCCCUAGAGCUCUGCCGGGCUGGCUUAUACAGCUCUGCCACCAGAGCGUCUCACAUUAUCCAGGUAUCUGCUCAAGGCGGCUGACAGCAAGUCUCUAAGACUCCACUCGGGCAUUGCUUACCUUGCGGGGCGGAGACCCACAGACAUGCCCACCCUCUGUCUUCUGUCUCAUCUUAAUGGAGGACACCACCUUCCCCAUCACGGCGAUGGUCAAGCUAUUGGAGAGUGGCACUGGGCCCGGCUCUGGACGCCCCCCAGCUGUAGCCCCUGAGAAGCCCAGGCGGGGAGUUUUCCAAAAGAUGCAGCAAUGAUGGCAGAGCCCUGGAGGAAGGAGGAGCCCGCUGAGUUCCUAAGUGCAGGAAGAUCCACUAACACAUAACUAACACUGGUCACAGAUGGUGGAGAACACGCCCCACCCCAAACACACCUAUACACAUGCUGAUGAGACUCCUGGGGCAGAAAGCUAUCCUGGAACCUGUCUGACCCAUCACUGCAGUGCAGACCUCACCAGCCGACAGCCCUAGACCAUGCUGGUAACACAAGGGAAGAGCCAGGCAGAGCUGCUUGGGGCGGGGGUUUUUGUUGUCUUUUAAAACUGAAAACCAAGGGUCAGAGAGAAAUACCAGGCUAAAGCAGUGGCCACACAAAACAACUUCAGAGAGCUUCCUGAGCUUCCUGGUGGCAAGUGCGGUGACUAGCAGGUCCCUGAGAGUAAGCUGAGGAGGGAGUAUAGAGAGGAGAGGGGAGUGCAGCCUGGGAGGUUUAUUCUGGGCACACAGAUGUUCUCCCUCUAAUCCUUACCCCCUCCUUUCUUUCCAGCAGCAGCUAGAAAAGCCAGGAAAUAGAUGUGGAUUGAUGGCCUAUAAUGGGCUUAGUUAGUGCUGUGACCUGCUGAGUUAUGUAACUCCUAUUUAUUAUCGGCUUGGAUGAAGUUUCCAUUGAAACAACUCACUAAGCUGAUUCUGUGACAUUUCCUUUAGCUUCCCCAGAGGCGGCAGCAGAAAAUUCCUCUGCAACUUCAAAGACCAGAAAUUAUGGUGUGGAUGCUUUCAAACCCCUUAGGCCGAUGUUUGUCUUACCCAUCUCAAAAUCUGCAACUUCAGCAUCAGCCCCAUGCUUGGGUCUCCUGGAUGCCUAGGCUAUAGGCUGCCUUGGUGGAGCUGAGCAAGGGCAUUUUCCUGCCUCUAGCGAAGAGGUGAGGAGAGCCAGGGCAGUGAGAAAGGACAGCAGCCUGGUGGGAAAGGCACUGAAUUAAGAGUCAAAAGUUCCAGGCUCAUCUUCCGGCUUGCUGGCACUUGGAAGGUGAAUACCAAUGUGGCGCCACCUUGUGCUGAAAAGGAAGAAGAACCUGAAGAACCUGGUCUCGUCAAAGCACAGUGGGUCUUCUUUCCCAGCCCUUUCCUGCUCUGGGAGAGGUGGAGACUUACACUCCAAGGACUCUCCCUCACUUAACUUCAUCUCUCAUCCCAUUCUCUCAGCUGCUAAAGGGGCCCUAGGAAGAAGGUGUCUAAAGGUGUUGAUGCUUGCCCAGGAUCAUCUCCAAGAUGCUGCAGGAAACACAAGUGCUAGAGAUGCCCGAGGGUCAGAAAAGCAUGCCUCUGGUGAAGAAUGCCUUAUGCUGCCAUUCCUAGUUCUUUGUGAAGUCCUUGGUAGCUUCUCCAAGGAAGCACAGGUGGCCUACACACACACACACACACACACACACACACACACACACACACACACACACACAGAGAGAGAGAGAGAGAGAGAGAGAGAGAGAGAGAGAGAGAGAGAGAGAGAGAACCUGUCUCCACAGAUGCAGACUAAACCAAAGAGCAUGGAAGGCCAGUAGCUGAAAAUUCACUCCCAAAUUGGACCUCAACCACAAAUCUUUGGGAUGAGCUAAAGAUUGAAGGUAGGCUUGUUGAGAAAGGGCAGUAGGAAAAGAAACUUAGGCAACUGCAUGGAAGGAUACUGGCAUCUUGUUAAUUGUUGAGUAAUACACGAUCUCAUGAGCUAUUGCAACAAAGAAUCUCGAGACCAUCACUGUGGUACUGAUGAAAAACAACAACAACAACAACAACAA